UGGGGAAUAUUGGGCAAUGGGCGAAAGCCUGACCCAGCCACGCCGCGUGAGUGAUGAAGGCCUUCGGGUCGUAAAGCUCUGUGGGGAGGGACGAACAAGUGCGUACCUAACACGUACGUGCCCUGACAGUACCUCCUUAGCAAGCACCGGCUAACCAUGUG
rnacentral:rRNA from 1 species